rnacentral:rRNA from 1 species
AACGAACGCUGGCGGCAGGCCUAACACAUGCAAGUCGAACGCCCCGCAAGGGGAGUGGCAGACGGGUGAGUAACACGUGGGAACGUACCCUUCGGUUCGGGAUAACUCAGGGAAACUUGAGCUAAUACCGGAUACGUCCGAGAGGAGAAAGAUUUAUCGCCGAGGGAUCGGCCCGCGUCUGAUUAGCUUGUUGGUGAGGUAACGGCUCACCAAGGCGACGAUCAGUAGCUGGUCUGAGAGGAUGAUCAGCCACAUUGGGACUGAGACACGGCCCAAACUCCUACGGGAGGCAGCAGUGGGAAUAUUGGACAAUGGGCGCAAGCCUGAUCCAGCCAUGCCGCGUGAGUGAUGAAGGCCCUAGGGUUGUAAAGCUCUUUUACCCGGGAAGAUAAUGACUGUACCGGGAGAAUAAGCCCCGGCUAACUUCGU